CCUACGGGAGGCAGCAGUGGGGAAUAUUGGACAAUGGGGGCAACCCUGAUCCAGCCAUGCCGCGUGUGUGAAGAAGGCCCUCGGGUUGUAAAGCACUUUCAGUGAGGAAGAACGCCUGGUGGUUAAUACCCAUUAGGAAAGACAUCACUCACAGAAGAAGCACCGGCUAACUCCGUGCCAGCAGCCGCGGUAAUACGGAGGGUGCGAGCGUUAAUCGGAAUUACUGGGCGUAAAGCGCGCGUAGGUGGCUUGAUAAGCCGGUUGUGAAAGCCCCGGGCUCAACCUGGGAACGGCAUCCGGAACUGUCAAGCUAGAGUGCAGGAGAGGAAGGUAGAAUUCCCGGUGUAGCGGUGAAAUGCGUAGAGAUCGGGAGGAAUACCAGUGGCGAAGGCGGCCUUCUGGACUGACACUGACACUGAGGUGCGAAAGCGUGGGUAGCAAACAGGAUUAGAUACCCCAGUAGUC
rnacentral:rRNA from 1 species